UACGGAGGGGGCAAGCGUUGUCCGGAUUUAUUGGGCGUAAAGAGCGUGUAGGCGGCCAGACAGGUCCGUUGUGAAAACUCGAGGCUCAACCUCGAGACGCCGAUGGAAACCGUCUGGCUAGAGUCCGGAAGAGGAGAGUGGAAUUCCUGGUGUAGCGGUGAAAUGCGCAGAUAUCAGGAAGAACACCCGUGGCUAAGGCGGCUCUCUAGUACGGUACUGACGCUGAGACGCGAAAGCGUGGGGAGCGAACAGG
rnacentral:rRNA from 1 species